UUCUAAAAUUUAUAAUAGAAUUUUAUUUUUUAGUCAAAAAGCUAAAAUAUAUUUAAAAGACGAGAAGACCCUAUAAAUCUUUAUAUUUAGGUUAUUAUAAUUUCAUAGAUUUUUUUUGUUAUAAUAAUUGAUAAUAUUUUAUUGGGGUGAUAUUAAAAUUUGAUAAACUUUUAAUUGUUUAAAUCAUUAAUUUAUGAAUAAUUGAUCCGUUAUUAGCGAUUAAAAAAAUAAGUUACCUUAGGGAUAACAG
rnacentral:rRNA from 1 species